rnacentral:rRNA from 1 species
GGGAAUCUACCUUUUGCUACGGGAUAGCUCCGGGAAACUGGAAUUAAUACCGUAUGUGCCCUUCGGGGGAAAGAUUUAUCGGCAAAGGAUGAGCCCGCGUUGGAUUAGCUAGUUGGUGGGGUAAAGGCCUACCAAGGCGACGAUCCAUAGCUGGUCUGAGAGGAUGAUCAGCCACAUUGGGACUGAGACACGGCCCAAACUCCUACGGGAGGCAGCAGUGGGGAAUAUUGGACAAUGGGCGCAAGCCUGAUCCAGCCAUGCCGCGUGAGUGAUGAAGGUCUUAGGAUUGUAAAGCUCUUUCACCGGGGACGAUAAUGACGGUACCCGGAGAAGAAGCCCCGGCUAACUUCGUGCCAGCAGCCGCGGUAGUACGAAGGGGGCUAGCGUUGUUCGGAAUUACUGGGCGUAAAGCGCACGUAGGCGGAUAUUUAAGUCAGGGGUGAAAUCCCGGGGCUCAACCCCGGAACUGCCUUUGAUACUGGGUAUCUUGAGUGUGGUAGAGGUGAGUGGAAUUGCGAGU